rnacentral:rRNA from 1 species
UACGUAGGGGGCUAGCGUUGUCCGGAUUUAUUGGGCGUAAAGAGCGUGUAGGCGGCUAUGCAGGUCCGCUGUGAAAACUCGAGGCUCAACCUCGAGACGUCGGUGGAAACCGCAUGGCUAGAGUCCGGAAGAGGAGAGUGGAAUUCCCGGUGUAGCGGUGAAAUGCGCAGAUAUCGGGAAGAACACCCGUGGCGAAGGCGGGUUGCUGGGCCGACACUGACGCUGAUGCGCGAAAGCCAGGGGAGCGAACGGG